rnacentral:rRNA from 1 species
AUGUUUUAAGCCAUGCGAGUCAUUCCGAAAGGAAGGCGUACCGCUCACUAACACGUAGCUAACCUGCCCUAAAGCCUGGGAUAUCCUCGGGAAAUUGAGGUUAAACCCGGAUAGAAGAUGGAUACUGGAAUGUUCUAUCUUCCAAAGGCAACACUUUAGGAUGGGGCUGCGGCGGAUUAGGUUGUUGGCGGGGUAAAAGCCCACCAAGCCGAUUAUCCGUAAGGGCUCUUAGCGGAGAGGCCCUGAGAGGGAAUCUGAGACAUCAUUCCCAGCCCUACGGGGUGCAGCAGGUAGGUGUUUUCUGCAAUAUGCGAAAGCGUGACAGAGCGAGCCAGAGUGCUUUUCCGUAUUGGAAAAGCUUUUGUGAGAUGUAAAAAGUCUCACGAAUAAGGACUGGGCAAGACUGGUGCCAGCCGCCGCGGUAAUCCCAGCAGUCCAAGUCGCAGCCACUUUUAUUGGGUCUAAAACAUCCGUAGCUUGCUUAGUAAGUUUCUUGUGAAAUCGGGCAUCUCAAGUGUCCGGCGGGCAAGAGGUACUGCUUUGCUAGAGACCGGGAGACGUAGGAAGUACAGAUGGAGUAGCGGUCAAAUGCAUUGAUCCUAUCUGGACUAACAACAGCGAAGGCAUCCUACGAGAACGGAUCUGACAGUGAGGGAUGAAGGCUAGGGGCGCAAAGGGGAUUAGAUACCCCUGUAGUCCUAGCAGUAAACACUGCACACUAAACAUUGGGGCCUCCUCGAGAGGUUUCAGUGCUGUAGCGAAGGCGAAGAGUGUGCUACCUGGGAAGUAUAGUCGCAAGGCCGAAACUUAAAGGAAUAGGCGGGGAAGUAAACAACGAGUGACGCGUGCGGUUCAAUUAGAUUCGACACCGUGAACCUCACCAGGAUCGACAGCAGGAUGAAGGUCAGUCUGAAGGGCUUACCUGACACGCUGAGAGGAGGUGCAUGGCCAG